rnacentral:lncRNA from 1 species
GUAAUCAAUGCCCCGGUGAUGGCUGAGCGUCCGGAAGAAGGUGAUGGCUGAGCGUCCGGAAGAAGCCGAAGCAGUUUUCGAGGAAAUGAUCUUCUCGGGGUAAGCCCUAAUAUCUCCUCCUAUAACAUUCUCAUUGAGAUGCGUUCUUGUUAUGCGAGUCGAUUCGAUUGGACCUAUGAGGUCGUUCACAGUGGGAGCAUGUGGUGUUUUGGAUUGGAUGCUGGAGGAGAAAUGCCCGCCCACCGUCCACACCUACACGCCCAUCGUGCAAGGUUAUUGCCUUGAAGGAAGGAUGGAAGAGGCUAAAAGUUUGAUGGCCACUAUGGAGAGUGUCGGUUGCUCUCCUAAUUCGGUGACCUAUAAUAUAUUGAUGGAUGCCUCUUGUCAUGUCGGGAGCUUUUAUAGAGGUUGAGUAUAUCUAUGUCCUUUGUACUACAAGGCUAAGGAACCAUUCCAGAAACUGGAAGUUAUUCUGGGGAAUGGAUUGUGGCCCACAGGAGUCACUUUAAAUAUCCUUCUUGAUUGCCUUCAGCAUGAUUCAACAUUUUGGUAGGCCAAAUGGCUAUUGGAGAGGAGUCCUAGAAUGGAAUAUGGUGUUGGUGUUUUUGGUUGCAGCACAGUGAUGAGCAGGUUAUGUGAGAUUGGGAGAUGGUCAUCCGUUCUUGAGCUCUUGACUGACAUUUUUAAAAAAGCUAUCGCCCCAACAUGAAGACAUUUAAUAUUGCGUUUCGUAGUCUUCGCAUAGGUGGAAAAUUUCGCAAUGCAAAAUAUCUUAUUAGCAGCAGAGGAUUCGUUGCAUGUGGUUGACAUAUAACUCAAUAAUUCAUUGGUCAUAUCUUUUUUUGUAACAUGGAUGUUCAGAAGAUUGCACCAGAUACAAUCACUUAUACUAUUAUGAUUAACAGCCUUUGUGAGGAAGAAAAUUUUUGGAGGUUACUGAUGGUUUUUUCAGAUCGCUAACAAUGUGGAUGUUCUACAGAUCUUGUUGUCUGUCUAAUUUAUGGGCUGAUUGGGAGUAGAACGUUCAGAGAAAUGCUAGACUUAUAUAAAGGAUUGGAGAAGCAGGGUUUUUUUUUCCAGAUAUCCAUAUAUAUGAUACAACAAUCAGGGUAUUUUCCUGGGAGGGUCUUUGUCAAAGCACAGAUAUUUAUAAAGUCUGUCAUAUUCUGGACAAAAUGUUCCGAAGGAGUUAAACUCUUCCUGGAUGUUGGAUUUGUUUGAUCCAACAUUUCUUUUCAUUGGAGAACAUGAUAAUUUUCUUUUUCUAUGGUAUCAGGUGUCACUUCGAUGUGUUUUUCUGGUUUCUGGUCCUCGAGACUUUCCUUCGAUGUGGACUCUCCUUACUUGCAUCCUUGGACACAUGGUAGUUUAUCUUGGGUUCAUCUAGGAAUUCGAGUGGGAAUUGAAAAGCAAAAUGGCAAAAUCUCGUCUAUGCACCACCUUCUCUUGAGAGCAUCCUUGGUGUUGAUCCCUAGUCCAUGGUAGGGCUUUAUCGUGGGACACUUCAGUACAUAAGGAGAAGGGCAAGGAGGUGGCUGACGUCCACUAGGACCCUUCAUCUGCCAUGCAUGAAGGUGUAUAUAGUUUGGCUCUACUAACUUGGAUGCCUUUGGCACCAAGAGUUCAAGUGGUUGUAUCUUGGUUUUGGUGUUCGUGUCUAAUGAUGCACCCAUCAACUUGGGAUCUGCUAGUAUUCCUUGCCUUGGUCGUGUGGCCAUGAAGCCAAGGUCAUUGGAAGAUUGCACAUAAUGCUCUCAUCAACAAGAUUAAGGCUGCUAUUGGGGCGUCUUGGUCCCAUGUGUUGUAUUCUCCACUUGGUUUACCAUCAAGGUUUAUUGAGGUUGCAACUCUAGACGAGUCCAAGGACUAUGGUCCUAGGCCGGGUUUGCCCUUUGGGGCACCUACUAACCCUUCUCUUCCCUCCCCUAACUGCCAAAUCUCCUUGGACCAUCUACUGCCUGGCAAUGUCAUCGUUGCAUGAUUUUCACAUGAGUUUUGUAGCGUGUGGUGUCUCUGGCUAGACCUAUGAUGUAUGAGGAUCUCAGUUUUUUUGACUGCUACCCAACCGAGGAUGGCAUAGGUUGUGUUUGGAUUUAGGAAAGGAGAAGCAUUCUUCAUGGCUUGAAGAUGGGGUUUGGAUGACCUCUUGGGAUGGCUGGAUGACUGGCCGAAUGAUUGCUCGGGAUGGUCUGAUGACUACUUGAGACUGAUAGAGAAUCGCCAUGAAGGGAAGACAGGAGUGGAGGAUUAGAAUGAACUAGUACUAUUUAGAAAAGUUAAAGGGCUUUAUAAAAGGCUUAAGAAGGAGAUGUAUAUUUUCAUCAUUUAGGACAAUGCACUAAUGGUGUUCAGUAGUGGAAUGGCUGCAGGAUUUCAUCAGGUCAAUAUGCUAACUUAAAGGAUCCAAUUAAAAAAUUUUAAACCUGAGGGGUAGGUGUGCAGCAGUCGAGGAGGUUAAAAUGUAAUUUUCCAAAAAAGAAUAAUUUUUUUUUUGGCACAAAACACAGUUGGAUUUGACAUCAAGAUGACAAGCAGUUGCAAAGUUCAUCUCAGGCCUUUCAUAUAUCCUUCCUUAAGGUUGUUUCCAUUGCCAAAGCCAUAUCAGUUGGAUAAGGCUUUCUUGGUGUUUGGAUGAACAAAACAUGUCUAUUCUUUGUAUACAAUUGCAUGGUUCAUAAGUCUGUCCUACUGUGACAUGAUAUAUGUGCCUGGCUUUCAGGUCCAUGGAUAGUCUUGAGAGUUAACAGCGGAAGGAAGCCUUGGUAUCAGUACUAAUAUAUUUUGCAAUGCUGACAUUCAAGAUGCCUGGUUAUUUUUGUUUCUCCUGGGCAAUGUAAAUUCCUUCAAAGAUUGUUAUUGUUGUUGCAGUUGCAGAGUCUCAUUACCUGCUAUACAUAGUUUUUCAUUAUAUCUAUGAUAUAAUAAAACAUAUGUCGGUUUGAUAUUUUCCUUUGUUAUCUAUAUUUAUAUAGAGAUCUUUGUGAUAUAUUGGCAGGUAAGUGCAGAGUGAAGCAACCCUGCCAGCAGCAUGGAAAUUGUAUGUUUAAUUAUGCGAUAGUGGAUGGAGAUGCAGGGCCAGUUUCCAGAGUUAUUGCAAAGGGAUUUGAGGUGAUAAAAAAUCACUCCUUUUGUUUCAUAUGGUUUAUUUUUGUAAUUCGUUUACCGGAGUUUAAUAUAGUCUUUUUUUUGGUAAUAGAGUUCAAUAUAGUUUUUUGUAAUUGAUUUCGGUUUGAAAAGGAAAAAGUAAAAUUCAGUUUCACGGAAGCCAUGGACUGACCUGACUUUGUUUCCAUAAUGGAAGUUCAGAGCAUGCUCUUUUUGAAGCAGUUAUCAAAUCAUGUUUACUUGAUUAGGACCAGAUGUGUUCUCGAACCAUUACAUGUAAGAAAGAUCUCAAUGUGCAGUUAGUAUUGUCUCGUAGAGACUAUGUAACUCUUAUUUUUAAAAUUUCUCCCAGUUGUUUUCUCAUUUUAUUGUACAAUUAUGUCCUAGAACUAGAGCGUUGGUUGUAAUUAUUUGUUUUUCAUUUUUGCAACAUAAGGUAUGCUAAUUAGGGAAGUGGACCAACCAUACAAAUGCCCGGACUACAAACUCUUAUAGCAUCCUUGCAGUGUUGAAUAUGAUGAACUGAACAAAUUCAACAUUUUAACUGUGAACUAGUGUCUGAUACUUAACCAUGUUCUAUGUUAUACUGAGUAGAUGAUAUUAUGAUUAACAGAUCAAGGCAUUGAACAAUGAUAAUUGUGGUCUCUUUCUUUCUUCUUAGUACAACACAGAGUUCCAAGUGACUCAGGCAUCUUGACCUCAUCCAAAGUGAACAUUGUGUAUAGGAUGGUCUUUGUGUAAAUGGAUUGCUCUCAUUGGAUAUCUUACCAUUAUUGCUGGAGACAUAUUUGAGGUUAAAGUCUCAGCUUCUGAUCGAACUUGAUUUGCUUCAGUCUCAACUGUAUAAAUCAUGUUAAGCCAAUUCAUGUAACUUAUAAAAUGAUAGAUGCUUUAUGAUAUUUCUGUAUCCACUAUACGUCUGCAUCCACUUGAUGAGAUGAUUUGCUUCCUUAAAAUCAUCACAAAACUGCUGUACUUUGUUUGUAACCCCCAGUCGGUUAUCAAAAGUUUUGCAAACAGAAGGUUCAUAAUCUUUUGAUCUUACAUAGAACAACUAAAUUUGUUCGCUGUCAUUGUUGCAUCUAAGAGAUCCUAUGCGAUGCUGUAGAUCAUAUGAUUUUUUGAAAAAGCUUCCCUGGUAUAAGAUUUCAAACUGGAAAAGUCAAAGUUCAUGAUAGAUAGCAUUGAAGGCAUAUGUGACUUAUUACUGUUCAGCUGCAAACAUGGAUAUUAACUCCUCAGUCCUUAACUUGCAGGAGGGUAGAAGGUAAUAAGAUGAGGUGACGCCUUGCAGGUUUUCAAGCUCGAGGGUUCAUCAUAGGCAAAACUGUAUGCAUGAGGGCAUAUGAACUGGAAGAUGUGGGAGUAGCGAUGGCUUGCAACUCCUUGGGGAAAUAUGGUCCCUGGUGCAGCAGUACUUGUUUGUCUUCAGAGCCAGGCAUGCACUCUUACGCCUAACUUCCUUCCUUUGCUGCUUCUCCUCAAACUUUAUAGGGCAGCAGACGUUGAAGUCCAUCUCACAUCCUGCCACGCCGAAUCCAAUUCCUCCCCAUAUUGGUUUCAUUGCAAUUCACGUCAUCGUAGUGAAGGGGUGAUCUGGAAGUCCCAAAGGUCAUCUACUGGGGCUGUCGGUGUUUCACCCAUCCUCCUGUGUCACAGGAGCCCUUGCCUUGAGGCAGCGGCCUUUGUGGCCCAUAUCCUCCCAGACCAUCCGGCAGGCACAUGAAAGAAUGUCUCCGCAAAGGUUGGACGUCCGGCAUUUCCCAGUGGCCCAGGCCACACGCUAUGGUUGCAAUUGUUCACCAGUACGAGUUGGAUCUCACCUGCAACAAAGCGCAGAAGGAUGAAUUAAAAUUCUCGUCAGUGAAGUAAGAAUAUAAGGAUUCUUCAGUGUAAAUUUAGUCUUACAUGAUAGUGUGUUGGGCAAGCGGACAUGGGAAGAAAUUAUGGAAAUUAUGUGUUGUUCUCUCCCUUCUCCUGGGUAUCUGAUGCUGGCUUAGUGGUGUGUGUUGGGUGUUUUGGGUGACGUGAUGUUUGGAAGAGCAGAGAGUUGGGUAGCGGCUUCCCUGACUUCGUUGCCAUGAAAUGUGCCACAACCACUUGGAGGAAUGAUAAGUAAUCCAGAGCAACGUGGUUCUAGGAUGUAGC